AAUCGAACUCGGAGAUAGCUGGUUCUCCCCGAAAUAGCUUUAGGGCUAGCCUCGGUGAAUGGAGUGGUGGAGGUAGAGCACUGAUUGGGUGCGGGGCCCGCAAGGGUUACCAAGCUCAGUCAAACUCCGAAUGCCAUUUACUUCUUGCCGGGAGUCAGACAGUGAGUGCUAAGAUCCAUUGUCAAAAGGGAAACAGCCCAGACCAUCAGCUAAGGUCCCCAAGUGUGUGUUAAGUGGGAAAGGAUGUGGAGUUGCACAGACAACCAGGAUGUUGGCUUAGAAGCAGCCACCAUUGAAAGAGUGCGUAAUAGCUCACUGGUCGAGUGACUCUGCGCCGAAAAUGUAACGGGGCUAAACACACCACCGAAGCUAUGGCUAGAUGCUUUGCAUCUGGGGUAGGGGAGCGUUGUAUGUGGGUUGAAGGUGUACCGUAAGGAGCGCUGGACAGCAUACAAGUGAGAAUGCCGGUAUGAGUAACGAAAAGAUCAGUGAGAAUCUGAUCCGCCGAAAGCCCAAGGUUUCCUGAGGAAGGCUCGUCCGCUCAGGGUAAGUCGGGACCUAAGGCGAGGCCGAAAGGCGUAGUCGAAGGACAACAGUUUGAAAUUACUGUACCACCGUAAUCCGCUAUGAGCGAUGGGGUGACGCAGGAGGGUAGUGACGCGGACUGAUGGAUGUCCGUCUAAGCAGUGAGGCUGGUGUGUAGGCAAAUCCGCACAUCGUAAGGCUGGGCUGUGAUGGGGAGCGAAAAUUAUAGUAGCGAAGGUCAUGAUCUCACACUGCCAAGAAAAGCCUCUAGCCAGGAGAAGGUGCCCGUACCGCAAACCGACACAGGUAGGCGAGAAGAGAAUUCUAAGGCGCGCGGAAGAACUCUCGUUAAGGAACUCGGCAAAAUGACCCCGUAACUUCGGGAGAAGGGGUGCCUCGGUAGGGUGAAUAGCCCGAGGGGGCCGCAGUGAAAAGGCCCAAGCGACUGUUUAGCAAAAACACAGGUCUGUGCGAAGCCGCAAGGCGAAGUAUACGGGCUGACGCCUGCCCGGUGCUGGAAGGUUAAGGGGAGUGGUUAGGAGCAAUCCGAAGCUAUGAACCGAAGCCCCAGUAAACGGCGGCCGUAACUAUAACGGUCCUAAGGUAGCGAAAUUCCUUGUCAGGUAAAUUCUGACCCGCACGAAUGGCGUAACGACUUGGGCGCUGUCUCAACGAGAGAUCCGGUGAAAUUUUAAUACCUGUGAAGAUGCAGGUUACCCGCGACAAGACGGAAAGACCCCAUGGAGCUUUACUGCAGCUUGAUAUUGAAUUUGGGUACGAUCUGUACAGGAUAGGUGGGAGCCGUAGAGGCAGGAGCGCAAGCUUCUGCGGAGGCGCCGUUGGGAUACCACCCUGAUCGUAUCUAGGUUCUAACCUGGUACCCUAAGCGGGUACGGGGACCGUGUCAGGCGGGCAGUUUGACUGGGGCGGUCGCCUCCUAAAGAGUAACGGAGGCGUUCAAAGGUUCCCUCAGAAUGGUUGGAAAUCAUUCGAAGAGUGCAAAGGCAUAAGGGAGCUUGACUGCGAGACCUACAAGUCGAGCAGGGACGAAAGUCGGACUUAGUGAUCCGGUGGUACCGCAUGGAAGGGCCAUCGCUCAACGGAUAAAAGCUACCCUGGGGAUAACAGGCUUAUCUCCCCCAAGAGUCCACAUCGACGGGGAGGUUUGGCACCUCGAUGUCGGCUCAUCGCAUCCUGGAGCUGAAGUAGGUUCCAAGGGUUUGGCUGUUCGCCAAUUAAAGCGGUACGCGAGCUGGGUUCAGAACGUCGUGAGACAGUUCGGUCCCUAUCUGUCGUGGGCGCAGGAAAUUUGAGAGGAGCUGUCCUUAGUACGAGAGGACCGGGAUGGACGUACCGCUGGUGCACCAGUUGUUUCGCCAGAAGCAUGGCUGGGUAGCUACGUACGGACGGGAUAAGCGCUGAAAGCAUCUAAGCGUGAAGCCCCCCUCAAGAUGAGAUUUCCCAAUUAGUAAGACCCCUUGA
rnacentral:rRNA from 1 species